rnacentral:rRNA from 1 species
GAUCCUGGCUCAGAACGAACGCUGGCGGCAGGCUUAACACAUGCAAGUCGAGCGCCCCGCAAGGGGAGCGGCAGACGGGUGAGUAACGCGUGGGAAUCUACCCUUCACUACGGAACAACUCCGGGAAACUGGAGCUAAUACCGUAUACGUCCUUCGGGAGAAAGAUUUAUCGGUGAUGGAUGAGCCCGCGUUGGAUUAGCUAGUUGGUGGGGUAAUGGCCUACCAAGGCGACGAUCCAUAGCUGGUCUGAGAGGAUGAUCAGCCACACUGGGACUGAGACACGGCCCAGACUCCUACGGGAGGCAGCAGUGGGGAAUAUUGGACAAUGGGCGAAAGCCUGAUCCAGCCAUGCCGCGUGAGUGAUGAAGGCCCUAGGGUUGUAAAGCUCUUCAACGGU